rnacentral:rRNA from 1 species
AUGGCGACCGCUGCCGUGCCCGACGACGCCGUGCUCUUUGCCGGCGUGUCCCUCGUGCUGGGCGCCGCCUGCCGCCACCUCCUCGACGGCACGCGCGUCCCCUACACCAUCGCCCUCCUNNNNNNNNNNNNNNNNNNNNNNNNNNNNNAGUACGGGACAAAAGACGGUCUAGGCAAACUUGGAGUUGGCAUGCGUAUCUGGGCUAACAUAAAUCCUGAUCUUCUCCUGGCUGCUUUCCUUCCGGCCCUUUUGUUUGAGAGUGCCUUCUCAAUGGAAGCACACCAGAUAAAGAAAUGCAUGGCGCAGAUGCUCUUACUUGCUGGUCCUGGUGUACUAAUGUCAACAUUUUUGCUUGGCACUGCUCUCAAGCUUACUUCUCCAUAUGAUUGGAACUGGGAAACAUCAUUGUUGCUUGGUGGUCUGCUUAGUGCCACUGAUCCUGUGGCCGUGGUUGCAGUUCUAAAAGAGCUUGGAACAAGUAAAAAGCUCAGUACGAUUAUUGAGGGAGAAUCCUUGAUGAACGAUGGGGUUUCUGUUGUUGUCUAUCAGUUAUUCUUACAAAUGGUGCUCGGAAGAAGCUUCAAUACAGGGUCUAUAUUGAUGUUCUUAUCGGAAGUUUCACUUGGAGCUGUUGCUCUGGGCCUUGCAUUUGCAAUCAUAUCUUUACUAUGGCUUGGCUUUACUUUCAAUGAUACAAUCUUGGAGAUGACGCUAACUCUUGCUGUCAGCUAUAUUGCUUUCUAUACUGUGCAAGAUGCACUGAAGUACUCUGGUAUUUUGACCGUCACAGCUUUGGGAAUGUUCUAUGCAGCUUUUGCAAAAACUACUUUUAAGGGCGACAAUCGCCGAAGUUUGCAUGAUUUCUGGGAAAUAGUUGCUUACAUUGCGAACACACUUAUUUUCAUACUGAGUGGGGUUAUUAUUGCAGAUGGCGUGCUAAGACAUAAUGUCCAUUUUGAGAGGCACGGCACUUCAUGGGGGUUUCUUCUUCUGCUCUAUUUCUAUGUACAAAUGGCACGGGCUGCAGUUGUCGGUGCUCUGUAUCUUUUGUUGCGCUACUUUGGGUAUGGUUUGGACUUAAAAGAAGCCAUAAUUAUUGUUUGGUCUGGGCUGCGAGGUGCUGUUUCCCUAUCAUUAGCGCUGUCUGUUAAACGUGCUAGUGAUACAGCUCAACCUUUUCUGAAACCAGAAGUCGGAACAAUGUUUGUGUUCUUCACUGGCGGCAUCGUGUUUCUGACACUAAUAUUGAAUGGUUCUACCACACAAUUUUUGUUGCACGCACUUGGUAUGGACAACCUGUCAGUAACAAAGCUUCGCAUGUUGAAUUAUACUAGACAUGAAAUUCUAAACAAUACAUUAGAAGCUUUUGGUGAUCUCAAAGAUGAUGAGGAGCUUGGUCCUGCUGACUGGGUUACAGUUAAGAAAUAUAUCACAGGCUUGAGUAACUUGGAAGAUGAACAUGCACAUCCACAUGAUGACAAUCAUGAUCACGUACAUACCAUGAAUUUAAAGGAUGGUCGAGUGCGUCUUUUGAAUGGUGUGCAAGCCAGUUACUGGGCAAUGCUUGACCAGGGACAGAUAACUCAAGCUACAGCAAAUAUUUUGAUGCGAUCAGUUGAUGAAGCUAUGGAUCUUGUUUCUAGCCGACCAUUAUGCGAUUGGAACAGUUUGCAGUCCAGUGUCCAUUUCCCAAGUUACUAUAGGUUCCUUUCUGCAAGCAUGUUACCACAAAGUUUUAUCACAUACUUCACAGUACAAAGAUUGGAGUCAGGAUGUUACAUCUGUGCUGCAUUUCUUCGUGCUCAUAGAACUGCAAGGAGACAACUACAAGAUUUUCUUGGUGAUAGUGAGAUUGCAAAAAUUGUUAUUGAUGAAAGUAAUGCUGGGGGAGAGGAAGCUAGGAAGUUCUUGGAAGAAGUUGGCUGUACAUUCCCUCAGCUUCUUUGUGUGCUAAAGACUCGACAAGUAACAUAUGCUGUAUUGACACACUUGAGUGAGAAUGUUCAAAACCUAUGGAAGACUGGGUUACUGGAAGAAAAAGAAAUGGCACAUCUGGAUGAUGCUUGGCAGACAGACCUGAAGAAGCUUAAGAGGAAUCCACAAUUAGUGAAAAUGCCAAGAGUUGGCGAUCUUUUAGGCACUCAUCCAUUAGUCGGCAUGCUGCCUGCUGCUGUGCGUGCUCCUUUGUUAAGCAAUACAAAAGAAAAAGUAAAAGGGCAUGGUGCAGCCCUAUAUAUGGAAGGCUCAAGAGCAACUGGUAUAUGGAUUGUUUCGAUCGGAGCAGUAAAGUGGAGAAGUCAGAGGCUAAGCAGCAGGCAUUCUUUGCACCCAAUUUUCCCACAUGGAAGCACUUUGGGUCUAUACGAGGUGCUAACAGGAAAGUCUUGUCUCUGUGACAUGAUUACAGAUUCUCUCGUGCGCUGUUUCUUUAUUGAAGCUGAAAAGAUAGAUCAAUUGCGUUGGUCAGAUCCUUCUGUUGAGGCUUUUCUGUGGCAGGAAAGUGCUGCAGUCAUUGCUAAGCUCUUGAUCCCACGUGUGUUCGAGAAAAUGACAAUGCAAGAGACGCGGCUUCUCGUCAGCACAGGAUCUACUAUGAACUUGUACACCAAGGGUGAAGACAUCAUGCUCGAGCAUAAUUACAUCGGCAUCUUACUAGAAGGAACUUUGAAGGCGGAGAACCAAAACAGCAUCUUACCUCCAGGAGUGCUGCUGCCAUCAAACAUGGACCUGGAGUUACUUGGUCUGGAGUCUUCAGCUAUGAACCGUAUGGACAGUUGCUACUCAGCAGACAGCUAUCAGGUGGAAGCCCAAGCUAGAGUUCUCAUCUUCGAAGUAGGGAGGCUGUUCACGGAGGCCAAUGGGCAGAGGAACCAGCCGGGUGGUAGCUUCUCUGCUGAAGCCUUGCAGCUCAGCGUGGAAGAAUCCACUGGAGAAGAACAAGUCAUCAUUACCGUCGACUCUCCGAACAAGCUGCCCUUGGGUGAUUCAUCAGCUGGCUCAUCAUCUGGCGUGACGCGAGGCAGCUGA